rnacentral:rRNA from 1 species
GACGAACGCUGGCGGCGUGCUUAACACAUGCAAGUCGAACGGGCCCGCCCCUGUUUUUGGGGGUGGGUUGUGUGGCGAACGGGUGAGUAUCCCGUGAGUAACCUGCCCCCUGCUCCUGGAUAACUGCUUGAAAGGGCGGCUAAUACGGGGUGUGCCGGCUGGUCCGCAUGGGCCUGGUCGGGAUAGUUUCAUCUUCGGGUGUUUCGGUGGGGGAUGGGCUCGCGGCCUAUCAGCUUGUUGGUGGGGUGAUGGCCCACCAAGGCGGUGACGGGUAGCCGGCCUGAGAGGGUGGGCGGCCACACUGGGACUGAGACACGGCCCAGACUCCUGCGGGAGGCAGCAGGGGGGGGUAUGGCACAAUGGGCGGAAGCCUGAUGCAGCGACGGCGCGUGAGGGAUGGAGGCCUUCGGGUUGUGAACCUCUUUCUCCGGUGGUGAAGGCCCUGUCCGUUGCGGCGGGGUUGACGGUAGCCGGGUAUGAAGCGCCGGCUAACUACGUG